ACGGAAGGCAGCAGUGGGGGAUAUUGCACAAUGGGGGAAACCCUGAUGCAGCGACGCCGCGUGAGUGAAGAAGUAUUUCGGUAUGUAAAGCUCUAUCAGCAGGGAAGAUAAUGACGGUACCUGACUAAGAAGCACCGGCUAAAUACGUGCCAGCAGCCGCGGUAAUACGUAUGGUGCAAGCGUUAUCCGGAUUUACUGGGUGUAAAGGGAGCGUAGACGGCAAAGCAAGUCUGAUGUGAAAGCUAUGGGCUCAACCCAUAAACUGCAUUGGAAACUGUUUAGCUAGAGUGUCGGAGAGGUAAGUGGAAUUCCUAGUGUAGCGGUGAAAUGCGUAGAUAUUAGGAGGAACACCAGUGGCGAAGGCGGCUUACUGGACAAUAACUGACGUUGAGGCUCGAAAGCGUGGGGAGCAAACAGGAUUAGAUACCCUGGUA
rnacentral:rRNA from 1 species